rnacentral:rRNA from 1 species
CAAAAUGAGAGUUUGAUCCUGGCUCAGGACGAACGCUGGCGGCGUGCCUAAUACAUGCAAGUCGAGCGAGCAGAACCAGCAGAUUUACUUCGGUAAUGACGCUGGGGACGCGAGCGGCGGAUGGGUGAGUAACACGUGGGGAACCUGCCCCAUAGUCUAGGAUACCACUUGGAAACAGGUGCUAAUACCGGAUAAUAAAGCAGAUCGCAUGAUCAGCUUAUAAAAGGCGGCGUAAGCUGUCGCUAUGGGAUGGCCCCGCGGUGCAUUAGCUAGUUGGUAAGGUAACGGCUUACCAAGGCAAUGAUGCAUAGCCGAGUUGAGAGACUGAACGGCCACAUUGGGACUGAGACACGGCCCAAACUCCUACGGGAGGCAGCAGUAGGGAAUCUUCCACAAUGGACGCAAGUCUGAUGGAGCAACGCCGCGUGAGUGAAGAAGGUUUUCGGAUCGUAAAGCUCUGUUGUUGGUGAAGAAGGAUAGAGGUAGUAACUGGCCUUUAUUUGACGGUAAUCAACCAGAAAGUCACGGCUAACUACGUGCCAGCAGCCGCGGUAAUACGUAGGUGGCAAGCGUUGUCCGGAUUUAUUGGGCGUAAAGCGAGCGCAGGCGGAAGAAUAAGUCUGAUGUGAAAGCCCUCGGCUUAACCGAGGAAUUGCAUCGGAAACUGUUUUUCUUGAGUGCAGAAGAGGAGAGUGGAACUCCAUGUGUAGCGGUGGAAUGCGUAGAUAUAUGGAAGAACACCAGUGGCGAAGGCGGCUCUCUGGUCUGCAACUGACGCUGAGGCUCGAAAGCAUGGGUAGCGAACAGGAUUAGAUACCCUGGUAGUCCAUGCCGUAAACGAUGAGUGCUAAGUGUUGGGAGGUUUCCGCCUCUCAGUGCUGCAGCUAACGCAUUAAGCACUCCGCCUGGGGAGUACGACCGCAAGGUUGAAACUCAAAGGAAUUGACGGGGGCCCGCACAAGCGGUGGAGCAUGUGGUUUAAUUCGAAGCAACGCGAAGAACCUUACCAGGUCUUGACAUCUAGUGCCAUCCUAAGAGAUUAGGAGUUCCCUUCGGGGACGCUAAGACAGGUGGUGCAUGGCUGUCGUCAGCUCGUGUCGUGAGAUGUUGGGUUAAGUCCCGCAACGAGCGCAACCCUUAUUAUUAGUUGCCAGCAUUAAGUUGGGCACUCUAAUGAGACUGCCGGUGACAAACCGGAGGAAGGUGGGGAUGACGUCAAGUCAUCAUGCCCCUUAUGACCUGGGCUACACACGUGCUACAAUGGGCAGUACAACGAGAAGCGAGCCUGCGAAGGCAAGCGAAUCUCUGAAAGCUGUUCUCAGUUCGGACUGCAGUCUGCAACUCGACUGCACGAAGCUGGAAUCGCUAGUAAUCGCGGAUCAGAACGCCGCGGUGAAUACGUUCCCGGGCCUUGUACACACCGCCCGUCACACCAUGGAAGUCUGCAAUGCCCAAAGCCGGUGGCCUAACCUUCGGGAAGGAGCCGUCUAAGGCAGGGCAGAUGACUGGGGUGAAGUCGUAACAAGGUAGCCGUAGGAGAACCUGCGGCUGGAUCACCUCCUUU